rnacentral:lncRNA from 1 species
CUGCCUAUCUUGGGCGUUGCACGUAGGGCUUAUUGGUCGAAAGACUGGGUAGUACGCAACAUUAUGGUACUUUCAAUGUGGUACAGGCCACACUGGCAGAUCGAUAUAGGGGGUCAGCUGAGCUCAAGCACACUUGAUGAACAACAAGGGACUUAAUACUGAAUGUAUUUGAUGUCGCAACUUAUUUGAUCUGAUGUGCCCAACCCCUGGUCAGUAAAUGGUCUGUAGUUGAUGAUUUGGGUCUAGUGAGACUAAAGCCAUCUGUCGUGCCUUCCAGACUCUGAGGAAGAGGAGAUGGACACCACCCCGGCACCCGCAGCAAAGAAAGCAGGCAUGGUCAAGGCUAAGGAGGAGUCUGAUGAUGAAGAUGAUGACGAAGACUAUGAUGAAGAUGGUAAGUGAUAUUUUUGAUUAAGGUUAAUUACUCAUUUGGUGAAAGGUUGGUCGCCGGCAGUCAUCACCGCUGGGUGGUGCCCCUAUUGCCCCAUUUCAGUUUCCUAGUUGUGACUAGCAGGUGAACACGACAUUAGCCCCGGCCUCCACCUUUUGGUGUUGGCACAUCUACGGGAGAAUGGGCAUUUCCUCCAUUUCUUGGCACACCUGUAGUUGCUCAGUACUCACGUGUGAUUGUACGGAGGUAGAACAAAGCCAGUGCUAUGUCUUCGGUACCAGUGUGUGUUAUCGUCUGCUGGUCCUAUCCUCAAUCGCUGGCACACUUAAAGUCAAUGAAGCUUAAUUGAUUUGUGUUUUAUAUGCAGUCUUCUAAUGCACGCUUAUCUUGCGCACCAGGAAGUUUGGCUACGUAGAAGGACGGAGGACAUGCAGACGGCCUUGGAGCUGAACGGCAAGAAGUUCAUGGGACAGGAGUUGAAGAUGGGGAAGGCCCGCAGCAAAGGGAACUACCAGGAGGAAAAAGGAAAGCAAGACACACAAUUUACAAUCCACGACGUAGACCUUAACAUUUUAAGACGGAGGAUAAUAUUGACGGGAUUAGCGCGAACCAAUAAUCAAGAGUUAACGAGAAGAGAUUUAGAAGGAUGCCCAUUCGAGACUAGUUUAUCCCUAGACUCUUGGGAAAAAAAACGUCCAAUCCUUAGGCCCAAUCGACUGCACAUCUAUCAUUUAUUUUCUUUUUGGAGAUCAACAGUUUUUUAAUGAUAGAUUUUUUUUUGUUAAGCAAAAAAAGGCAGAAUAGACAUCAUUGUAUUAUAGCAAUUGCAUUGCCAGUGCAUGUCCAACAUAUUCAAUAAUACAAUGCAUUCAUACAUAGUACAUACACAUACCUACCAAGCAACAAUAUGCAGUCACCAUUACUACAGGUCAAAAGCAGCACUAACCUAAUUUAGAUCAAAUGAUUUACAAUAAAAGGAUACAUAUUGUGAUAAUGAUUCCAAACAGGAAAAGUAGCCAAUAUAAGAAACAUAUUUUAUUGGUAUUUUAUUUUAUUUUUUUGCACAACAGUAUCUCUACUUGCACAUCAUCAUCUUCGGCACAUCUAUCACUCCAGUGUUAAUGCUGAAUUAUAAUUAUUUUGCCUCCAUGAACUAUUUAUCGCCUUACUACCCUCCCUACUCUUCUACAUUUACAUACACUUUACAUAGAAAAAUCUAUUGUUUUAUUGACUGUACGUUUGUUUGUUUAACUCUGUGUCGUUUUAUCUGUCGAACUGCUUUGCUUUAUCUUGGCCAGGUCGCAGUUGUAAUUGAGAACUUGUUCUCAACUGGCCUACCUGGUUAAAUAAAGAUUUUAAAUAAAGAUUUGUUUUUUUUGCAGAAGAUGACAGUGCCUAUUAUUUCCAGCAGGGGGCACUAACAUCUUUGGUUUGGUGUUGUAAUAACUGAAGUUGGGCAACUCAGACAAAACCAAAGUUUGUCUUCUUCAAUGCAGCCUCCAUCCAAUGGCCUAUGAACUAUGGAAAAACUACGGGGCAUAUUUACAUCUUAUUUAGAUACUCAGAAAUGAGUGAGGUUGCUGGAGUUUGUACCAGGAAUAAGGUUGUUGCUCAAAGAGCUGUUCACUUAGUCCUUUGAGUAUGUAACAACAAUAGAAAUGCAGGCGCAACAAUUUCAACUCAUUUACAGUUACAGGCUGUAUAAAGAAAUCAGUCAAUUGAAAUAAAUUCGGCCCUAAUUAAAUCUAAUGGAUUUCACUUGACUUGGCAGGGGCACAGCCAUGAGUGUGCCUGGGAGGGUAUAGACCCAUCCACUUGCAAGCCAGGCCCGGCCAAUCAGAAUGAGUUUUUCCCCACAAAAGGGAUUUAUUACAGACAGAAAUACUCCUCAGUUUCAUCAGUUGUCUGGGUGGCUGGUCUCAGAUGAUCCCACAUUCGAAGAAGCUGGAUCUGGAGGACCUGAGUUGAUGUGGUUACAUGUGGUCUGCGGUUGUGAGGCCGGUUGGACGUACUACCAAAUUCUCAAAACAAUGUUGGAGGUGGCUUAUGGUAGAGAAUUGAAUAUUCAAUUCUCUGACAGGACCUCUGGUGGACAUUCCUGCAGUCAGCAUGCCAAUUGCACACUCCCUCAAAACUUGAGACAUCUGUGGCAUUGUGUUGACAAAACUGCACAGUUUAGAGUGGUCUUUUAUUGCCCCCA